AAUAUGCCAAAUAACAGUUAACCGACAAACACACUAGACUCGGGCUCCAUUAGCGACCUUAAGCAAUUUCACACAUUCGUUGAUUCAAGAAUUACCGUUUUAUCAUUAUUGAACUUUAAUACCAUGAUAGGAAAUAGGGUGAGGGGUUCAUACUCGUUUCGGGGUCCGAACACGGCUUCACAGUGCGCCUACAGGCUGUCCCUAAUUUUUCCUGAAUUUUUUCCGGGAAACUGAAACGCACUACUGGUACCUACACGUGUCCCAAAAAAAUCCCAAAUUAGACCCAGGUCUCCUUUCGGCCAAUAUCGCAAUUCUAGCACGGCGGCUCCUCCGUGCUCCGGCGAUUUGCCUCGGGUUGGCCGUUUUCGGCCGAAUUCGGCCACACUUGCAUCGGUUCCUGCGAUAAAACAACCCUAGGGCCCUCGGGGGGCCAAAAAAUUACGAAAAACCGAAGCUUACCGGCAGCGGUGUUCUCGGGUGCGGUGGCUCUCCGGUGAGGUUCGUGUUUUGGUGAUUCGGCUCCGAUCAACCUGUAGAGAAAAGAAUGGUGAUCACGGUGAUAUAAAAAUUGCAUCAAACAGAGGCCGGGAAGGGCCUCAUCGGAGGCAAAAAUCGAGGAGGGACGCGGCGGCGCCGCUGGGUUUCAGCCAUGUUUUUCGGCCGUUUGGCCGGGAUUUUGGCUCCGAUUUGGCCACAUGGGAAAACAGCGUGGAAAAACGAGUCGGGGGUAUGAAAUUUACCUCGAUCGACGGUCGGAAAUCUCCCCGGUGCGGCGGCGGGUGGCGGCGGCAGGCUUCUCCGGCGUCUGGUUCGUCUUCUCCAGCGAGGGCAGGCGGCUAGGGUUUUUGUGGUCAGGUGUGGGGGUUCUAUUUAUACCCUUUUGCCUUUUGAUCUCAGCCGUCCAUUUUGAUUUAAUCUGGGCCGUCCGUUUUUGAUUUAAUUUGGGCCGUCCGUGCGAUUGCAUCUGGGCCGUCCGUGCGCACGCUUGAUCUGGGCCGUCCGUGCGCACGCUAGAUCUGGACCGUCCGAUCGCGCGUACGCAGAUCGCCAACGUGGCCCGUCUCCGGUCGACGUGGUCUUGCCACGUGGCAGGUACUGGUUGGCCAGGACUGCUAACUGGGUCUGCUGACGUGGCUGCUGACGUGGCGCUUUUUU
rnacentral:lncRNA from 1 species